UACAGAGGUCCCAAGCGUUGUUCGGAUUCACUGGGCGUAAAGCGUGCGUAGACGGUUAUGUAAGUCGGAUGUGAAAGCCCCGGGCUCAACCUGGGAAUUGCAUUCGAGACUGCAUAGCUAGGAUGCGGAAGAGGGCAGUGGAAUUUCCGGUGUAGCGGUGAAAUGCGUAGAUAUCGGAAGGAACAUCAGUGGCGAAAGCGACUGCCUGGUCCAGCAUCGACGUUCAGGCACGAAAGCGUGGGGAGCAAACAGG
rnacentral:rRNA from 1 species